GCCUGGGCUUCAGCUCAUUUGAGUCACUGUGGCCCCAUCAGGGGAGAAGAUGACUCUACCUGGUAAGUUCUGAAAAGAUGGGACAUCCAAGCUCAUAGGAUCUGCCACACACCCACUCCCUAGGAUCUCGAAGACAAAGCCCACGCUUGUCCACAGUAGGGUGGAGAACACAGGAUUUGGCAUCAGAAAGUCUUGGUUUCAAACCAACCUAAAGCUCUUACAAGCUGUGUGACCUAGACUUGGGAAACCAAUAUUCAUUCACUUGUUUAUUCCAUCACUCAUUCAAAAAAUACACAACAUACAAGCAAUACAAAAUAAGCCAGUUGCAAAAGAUAAAGUGUUGUGUACAAAAUAUGUAUUCUGUAUGCCCGUAGGCGUAUUGAAAAUAUUUUAAAAGAUACACAAAGUGCUUCUAAAUAGUGGCUUCCUCUGGAGGUGGGAUUGGGGUGGGGGUGAAGAGGGAAUUUUCUUGUUACUUUGUAACAUUCAAUUCUGUCUGAUUGCCUCUACAAUUAGCAUGAAUUAUAUUGAUAAUAAUAGAGAGAGAGACACAGAUAUCAAAGCUGCGUUUCUGAGAUGGCCCCUGGGCUUAAAUGGGAUAAUGUAUGCUUUUGUCUUUGCACAGCACUAGGCACCUAAAUAUCUAUUAUUGACCUUCUCCAUACUCUUUCAGGCUGCUCUUAGAUAAGGAUUUGCCUCUUUGCACAAACAGGCAGAGAUAACAUCCAAAUAUUUAUCAAUCAUAUGGAAUGCUAUGGGGUUCAACUGUGUCCCCCCCAAAUUUUUAAGUCCUAACAUUCAGUUCCUCUGAAUGUGACCACAAUGGGAAAUUGGGUCAUUGCAAAUGUAAUUAGUUAAAAUAAGGUCAUAUUGAAUAGGGCGAGCCCCUUACCCAAUAAGGACCGGUUUUCUUAUAAAAAGGGGAACUUUGGGCCAGGCGCAGUGGCUCACGCCUGUAAUCCCAGCACUUUUGGGAGGCCGAGUGGGGCAGAUCACUUGAGGUCAGGAGUUCGAAACCAGCCUGGCCAACGUGGCAAAACCCCAUCUCUACUAAAAAGACAAAAAAAAAAAAAAA
rnacentral:lncRNA from 1 species